rnacentral:lncRNA from 1 species
CAGGAUUAUCUUGCUCGAAAUUCAGCAUUGAAAAAAGAGCACUAAGACCUCUUCAGAUUUCAGGACCGUCUACAUCAAAAGAACCUGCGCAUCUACAUAUACACUCACAAGGUUCAAUUGAAGAUGUACAAAUGAAAGAGAAUCUUGAUCCUGUCACUUCAGAAUCUCAGUCUGUACACAGUGAUAGACAGCCUCAUAGUGAAGAAGAAAAUGUUGAGGUGGUGAAAGAUCUUG